rnacentral:rRNA from 1 species
UACGAAGGGAGCUAGCGUUGUUCGGAAUCACUGGGCGUAAAGCGCACGUAGGCGGAUUUGUCAGUCGGGGGUGAAAUCCCGAGGCUCAACCUCGGAGCCGCCUCCGAUACAGCAAAUCUCGAGUCCGGGAGAGGUGGGUGGAAUUCCUAGUGUAGAGGUGAAAAUCGUAGAUAUUAGGAAGAACACCAGUGGCGAAGGCGGCCCACUGGCCCGGUACUGACGCUGAGGUGCGAAAGCGUGGGGAGCAAACAGG